GGAUGUGAGGGCGAUCUGGCUGUGACAUCUGUCACCCCAGUGAUCGCCAGGGUUGAUUCGGCUGAUAUGGCUGGCUAGGCAAAGAGGAUGGCCUUCCCCGAAUAGAGACGAACCGGUCUUCAGUCAAGGGCAUACGUGUAGCUGUGCUCCUCUGCUAGAACCUCCAAACAAGCUCUCAAGUAGGGCACAAUGGCAGGGAAUAUGAUCAAAGAGGAGGCACAUAGUCAAAAUAGAAAGAGUAUCUUGU
rnacentral:snRNA from 1 species